UACGGAGGGUGCAAGCGUUGUCCGGAAUCACUGGGGCGUAAAGGGCGCGUAGGCGGCUCAUGAAGGCUGUGGUGAAAGUCCGGGGCUCAACCUCGGAUCGGCCGUGGCGACUCGUGGGCUGGAGCACUGUAGAGGCGGGUGGAAUUCCGGGUGUAGCGGUGGAAUGCGUAGAGAUCCGGAAGAACACCAGUGGCGAAGGCGGCCCGCUGGGCAGUGGCUGACGCUGAGGCGCGACAGCGUGGGGGAGCAAACAGG
rnacentral:rRNA from 1 species